rnacentral:rRNA from 1 species
CAUGCAAGUCGAGCGGUAAGGCCCCUUCGGGGGUACACGAGCGGCGAACGGGUGAGUAACACGUGGGUGACCUGCCCUCAGCUCUGGGAUAAGCCUGGGAAACUGGGUCUAAUACCGGAUAUGACCUAACCUCGCAUGGGGUUGGGUGGAAAGUUUUUCGGCUGGGGAUGGGCCCGCGGCCUAUCAGCUUGUUGGUGGGGUGAUGGCCUACCAAGGCGACGACGGGUAGCCGGCCUGAGAGGGCGACCGGCCACACUGGGACUGAGAUACGGCCCAGACUCCUACGGGAGGCAGCAGUGGGGAAUAUUGCGCAAUGGGCGAAAGCCUGACGCAGCGACGCCGCGUGGGGGAUGACGGCCUUCGGGUUGUAAACCUCUUUCAGCAGGGACGAAGCGCAAGUGACGGUACCUGCAGAAGAAGCACCGGCUAACUACGUGCCAGCAGCCGCGGUAAUACGUAGGGUGCGAGCGUUGUCCGGAAUUAUUGGGCGUAAAGAGCUCGUAGGCGGUUUGUCGCGUCGGCCGUGAAAACUUGGGGCUUAACUCCAAGCUUGCGGUCGAUACGGGCAGACUUGAGUUCGGCAGGGGAGACUGGAAUUCCUGGUGUAGCGGUGAAAUGCGCAGAUAUCANGAGGAACACCGGUGGCGAAGGCGGGUCUCUGGGCCGACACUGACGCUGA